AGCGAACGCUGGCGGCAGGCCUAACACAUGCAAGUCGAACGAAGCCUUCGGGCUUAGUGGCGGACGGGUGAGUAACACGUGGGAACGUACCUUUCGGUUCGGAAUAACGCAGAGAAAUUUGCGCUAAUACCGAAUGAGCCCUUCGGGGGAAAGAUUUAUCGCCGAAAGAUCGGCCCGCGUUGGAUUAGGUAGUUGGUGUGGUAAAGGCGCACCAAGCCUACGAUCCAUAGCUGGUCUGAGAGGAUGAUCAGCCACACUGGGACUGAGACACGGCCCAGACUCCUACGGGAGGCAGCAGUGGGGAAUCUUGCGCAAUGGGCGAAAGCCUGACGCAGCCAUGCCGCGUGAAUGAUGAAGGUCUUAGGAUUGUAAAAUUCUUUUACCAGGGACGAUAAUGACGGUACCUGGAGAAAAAGCCCCGGCUAACUUCGUGCCAGCCGCCGCUGUAAAAC
rnacentral:rRNA from 1 species